GAUGAAGAACGUAGCGAAAUGCGAUACGUAAUGUGAAUUGCAGAUUUCAGUGAAUCAUCGAAUCUUUGAACGCACAUUGCGCCCGCCAGUAUUCUGGCGGGCAUGCCUGUUCGAGCGUCAUUUCAACCAUCAAGCCUUCGCUUGUGUUGGGGCCCCGCGGCUGCCGCGGUCCCCUAAAUCCAGUGGCGGGCUCGUCGUCGUACCGAGCGCAGUAGACAUCCUCGCUCCGGGAACCCGCCGGGUGCCGGCCGUGAAACCCCCCACAUCAAGGUUGACCUCGGAUCAGGUAGGAAUACCCGCUGAACUUAAGCAUAUCAAUAAGCGGAGGA
rnacentral:misc_RNA from 1 species